AUGUCAAACAUGCACAUUCACAAGCUUAAUAUGACGGAUUCUUGGAAGUUGCAUCGGUAAAAUUUUACUCCAGCGAGCAUGAAUGUUCUUAUAUUUAUCCUUCUUUUUUUCCUCAUUUGUGCAUAGGUUUUGUAGAAUGAGAGGUGCUAAGGAAGAAGUGUCAUGUAGUGCUACACAAGUAGGAUUCUCAACUACUAAUAGUUGACAGUUUGAAUAAUUUAUUUAUUUUUUCCUUGUGUAGGUUCUGUUCAUUAGGGAUCCAGAUAUUCACAUUGUCUUGUAUGCGCUUGAUUUUUAGUUGAAGUGGCCUAUUAUUCAUCCAAUAGCUACUAGUGGAUAUUUUAGUUUUGUUAUCAAACCCUAAGCAGGAUGGAAGAAUCUUGAGAUUUCUGAUGGACCACUAGAAUUAAGAAUCAAGGAUACCCUCGAAAAGGAAAGGACCCGAAUUUAUUAAUUAGGCAACCAAUUAGACUGUUCUUUCCAAAUUCAGUCUGUUAGCAUGAAUAAGUAUUUAUUUCUUUGCAUGGACAGGUUAUUGAGUUAGUCAGGGGGUCCCAUGGGUUUAACUCUCAGAAGCUUAAUAAAUUACUGAGGGACCAUGAAACUUUUACUAUUAUGUGUGUUGUACCAUAUAUUGGGCCUCAAUAUUUGGGUUUCAUUACUUAGCCCAUGAUUCAUGUAAGAGGGUAGGAAACCCUUAUUCUAUAAAAGGGCUCCCUCACACUCACUUAAGAAGGGGAGGAGACUCAAUGAGAGAGAAGGGAAACAGACAGGGGGGAAACGGGAGAGCAAACAGAAUAGUAAAGAGAGCAAACACUGCCUCUAUAGCCUCCAUGUAUAUUCAACAUUCAUUUACAUAGUGAAACGGAAUCAACGCUAGUGUGGACGUAGCCUCAACUUGAGGUGAACCACAAUAUAUCUUUGUGUUCUUGUGCGUUUGUGUGAUUCACGGUCGGAUUUAUGUCGGUCUAAGAUCGACCCGAUUUUGUGCAUCAACGGUGUGUGUUACCGAAAAGGGAUCAAUUUUAAAAAAGAUUGAUGUGGAAAAGCUUGUGGGCUUUCUUCCUCUGCACCUUAUUGCAGUGCUUAUGUCAUCUGACAGAGAUGAAGCUCUGUUCGAAUACCUAUCAUGCGGUAUCAGGCUAUUGCACACCUUGUGUAAUUUAGCACCUCGACAUGCCAAACUUGAACAGGUUUUAUCUCGACGUACCAAAGGAGCAGGAAGCUGACUGAGGUGCACGGUUGAUUCCACCGAAUCAGGGAGAAUGGAGGCAAAAGUCCAAGCUUUGGAAACAGGAUUUGGAGGAGACAGGACUUUCUCCGGCGUAGCCAAGAAAGACCAAGGGCAAAUUGUCAUGGUGAAUUCAAUCCAACUAAGAUCGUACCAUAAAUCAAUGACCGAGACGCCAGUAGAACCAACAAGGAAGACGACAAUGGUAGAAUCUCAGAGCAAACCAAGAUGAAUCAGAUCGUCCACACCUUCCGGAACAAACUAGAUCGUCCCUCGAACUGUUUGACACCGGCAGAGAAAUCAGACGCCGUUGCCAUCGACACCGACUCCGCAGCCACAGAACCCUAGGGAAGCGAGCGCUGGUGGCCUUUUUUUUGUGAUAAAACGUAACAUCUGAUUUCUCUGCCACGUAACAUCCGAUAGCUAUCUAUAUAUAUAAACACACCUAACAAACUUCUAACAAAGCUAACAACUCAAUACAUUAAAUGAUGUCAUCUGUCCAUUGCAUCCAACAUAACGAAUAGUGACAUGUACAUGCCACUU